rnacentral:rRNA from 1 species
AUUCGCGGCCUAUCAGCUUGUUGGUGAGGUAACGGCUCACCAAGGCAUCGACGGGUAGCUGGUCUGAGAGGACGAUCAGCCACACUGGGACUGAGACACGGCCCAGACUCCUACGGGAGGCAGCAGUGGGGAAUCUUGCGCAAUGGGCGAAAGCCUGACGCAGCAACGCCGCGUGGGGGAUGAAGGCCUUCGGGUUGUAAACCCCUUUCAGCAGGGACGAUUAUGACGGUACCUGCAGAAGAAGGACCGGCCAACUACGUGCCAGUAGCCGCGGUAAUACGUGGGGUCCAAGCGUUGUCUGGAUUUAUUGGGCGUAAAGAGCUCGUAGGCGGCUCAGUAAGUGGGAUGUGAAAACUCGGGGCUCAACCCCGAGACGCCAUCCCAUACUGCUGUGGCUUGAGUCUGGUAGGGGAACACGGAAUUCCUGGUGUAGCGGUGAAAUGCGCAGAUAUCAGGAGGAACACCGAUGGCGAAGGCAGUGUUCUGGGCCAGUACUGACGCUGAGGAGCGAAAGCGUGGGUAGCAAACAGGAUUAGAUACCCUGGUAGUCCACGCCGUAAACGUUGGGCACUAGGUGUGGGGACCUAUCGACGGUUUCCGUGCCGCAGCUAACGCAUUAAGUGCCCCGCCUGGGGAGUACGGAAU